GCUUGAUUCCUGCCCCUUACUUCAUCAACCCGCGUGCAACCUAAAUGCCAAUCGGCACUUGGGCUGCGCGCGGGUUGGUGAAGUAAGGGGCAGGAACCAAGCUGAAAAUCGGCCGAAAUGUGCAAUUAAAUCCCAGCUCUGCAGAAAACUUCAG